AGGCUUUGAUCUGGCUCAGAUUGAACGCUGGCGGCAUGCUUUACACAUGCAGGUCGAACGGUAACAGGCCGCAAGGUGCUGACGAGUGGCGAACGGGUGAGUAAUGCAUCGUAACGUGCCCAGUCGUGGGGGAUAACGCAGCGAAAGCUGUGCUAAUACCGCAUACGAUCUAUGGAUGAAAGCGGGGGACCGUAAGGCCUCGCGCGAUUGGAGCGGCCGAUGUCAGAUUAGGUAGUUGGUGGGGUAAAGGCUCACCAAGCCAACGAUCUGUAGCUGGUCUGAGAGGACGACCAGCCACACUGGGACUGAGACACGGCCCAGACUCCUACGGGAGGCAGCAGUGGGGAAUUUUGGACAAUGGGCGCAAGCCUGAUCCAGCAAUGCCGCGUGCAGGAAGAAGGCCUUCGGGUUGUAAACUGCUUUUGUACGGAACGAAAAGCUCUGGGUUAAUACCCUGGGGUGAUGACGGUACCGUAAGAAUAAGCACCGGCUACA
rnacentral:rRNA from 1 species